AGAGUUGGAGUUUGUUGGCUGUGCUGUGGAGAGGAAGGAGUCAGUGCUGCAAGGAGCUGCCCAUGAGACCUCACUGAGAAGUAAAUGGAGUAUGAGUCCAUAAUAAUGGAGUAAAUAAUAAAUGGAUAGCUGGGAACACCUGCAUGAGCUGAAAAGCUGGAUAGCUGUUAGGAACUCGAGUGAAAGAGCAAGAAAUGCUGUGAACAGUGAGGUGAACAAAAAACAUCUGGGAGGCGGAAAUACCUUUUUUACUUGCCAAGGAUGAAAAGCACCUCUUUUGGUAAUCCCAUGGGUGCAAGGCUGCAGAAACUUUGUCAGAAAGUGGCAGUGAGCCUGAUGCAUAAAGAAUAUCAGCAAAAUAGUCAGGUUUUGUGUCUCCUGAUUACAAAGGAACUUCUCCAAACUUAUCUGCAGAGCAGCCAGCAGCAGCAGCACAUGUGAAGUGAGCUCACAGCUUGCAGUGAGAUCUCUGCGUGUGCCAGAUGUAAGCAAGCUGUGAUUUAUGUGUGCAAAUGCCUCCAGGAAUACAUGAGCGCAUGAGCUGAGGGAAUUCAGCACAAGAGCUUUUGGAAACUGGAAUUCUGAGUUGCUUCCCACGUUGUUUGUUCUUUUGCAUUAGAACAGGAUCUGCUUAUGAAAAGAUACAGAGUGAAACUUGACAAGAAGCUGAGGGGAUAAAAGUUCUAGCUCAGUAACAAAUCGAGGUGAAUGCUGGUGAGUCAUCUGCUGAGCUUUGAGGGCAGAUAGCUGGACAAGAAAUUCCAAAACAUUCUUUUAACACCACAGAAAUCCCUCUAAUGUCUGACCAUAACUGUAGGGCUGCUCAAAAGCAGAAUCUGGGAAGAUGGGAGCGGUUCACUUGCUCAGAAUUUAACUUCCAAACAAGCUGCCAAGACCAGUUGGUAAACUUUUAACCUGCCUCAAACAACAGCAGUGGCACUUCUGUCACCUCUGUAGGGGAACUGAGUGCUGAAAGAAACAGCUGCAUGUGCAUUGGUAGGGAGGCAAAACCACUCCAGUAAUGCUGGAAUUGAAGGUCCUUUAAGGAUUCUGACCAGGUGUAGAGCAAGCAAAGCUGGACAGAGGAAAUGGACUUGAAUGCUGCAGUGACUCUUGGGGAGCUUCUCUGUAUUUUAGCUCAGUGCUAGAAGCUGUUUCAAGCCACAGGGAAGCCAUGUGGGUAUAUCUGAUAGUGAUAAAGCAUUACACAGCUCCUAGGGGCUGUGAUACCUUGCCAUCAUGCUGUGUCCAACCCAUAAAAGCUAAGCCAGUUAUGUGUCAUCAAUUCCAAUUUUCCCUCUUCAUUCUUUUGUGCUAUUGUAUAAUGCAGCUCCAAGAGGGCAGAAUUAUUCUCUCUUCUUCAUUUGUAGCUGAAUACAACUUCUGAAUUACACCAAUUAUUCUGCUGAUCUGCUUCCUGACUUGGCUGAAUUUUCUCAGAAAGUAGCUAUGGUUAGCAAUAAGAAAAAAGUGAAACUAGCAGCCACAGAAUAUCUUCUGUUCAACUCUGAGGGCUACACCUUGUAGCUGUGAUGAUCUUAAAGUCCAGAGCAAAUGUUCCUGCUGUGAGUCUUGUGCUCUCUUGCACUUUUGCUUUCCUUAGAUGCUGUUCUGAGCCAAUCCAGCUCAAUGAGCUGAACUAAAUUAAAAUAAAUCAAUAAAAAUGAAAAAAAAAA